GGCUCAGAACGUACGCUGGCGGCACGCCUAACACAUGCAAGUCGAACGCAGUAGCAAUACUGAGUGGCAAACGGGUGAGUAUAAUGUGGGAAUCUGCCUUUUGGUUUGGAAUAACACGAGGAAACUUGUGCUAAUACCGAAUAAGCCCUUACGGGGAAAGUUUUAAUGCCGAAAGAUGAGCCCGCACUUGAUUAGCUAGUUGGUAAGGUAAAAGCUUACCAAGGCAACGAUCAAUAGCUGUUCUUAGAGGAAGACCAGCCACAUUGGGACUGAGACACGGCCCAGACUCCUACGGGAGGCAGCAGUGGGGAAUCUUGCACAAUGGGGGAAACCCUGAUGCAGCGAUGCCGCGUGAGUGAAGAAGGCCUUUGGGUUGUAAAACUCUUUCGUCGGGGAAGAAAAUGACUGUACCCGAAUAAGAAGGUCCGGCUAACUUCGUGCCAGCAGCCGCGGUAAUACGAAGGGACCUAGCGUAGUUCGGAAUUACUGGGCUUAAAGAGCUCGUAGGUGGUUGAAAAAGUUGGUGGUGAAAUCCCAAGGCUCAACUCUGGAACUGCCAUCAAAACUUUUCAGCUAGAGUAUGAUAGAGGAAAGCAGAAUUUCUAGUGUAGAGGUGAAAUUCGUAGAUAUUAGAAAGAAUACCAAUUGCGAAGGCAGCUUUCUGGAUCAUUACUGACACUGAGGAACGAAAGCAUGGGUAGCGAAGAGGAUUAGAUACCCUCGUAGUCCAUGCCGUAAACGAUGUGUGUUAGACGUUGGAAAUUUAUUUUCAGUGUCGCAGGGAAACCGAUAAACACACCGCCUGGGGAGUACGACCGCAAGGUUAAAACUCAAAUGAAUUGACGGGGACCCGCACAAGUAGUGGAGCAUGUGGUUUAAUUCGAAGAUACGCGCAGAACCUUACCAACACUUGACAUGUUCGUCGCGACUCUAAGAGAUUAGAGUUUUCGGUUCGGCCGGACGAAACACAGGUGCUGCAUGGCUGUCGUCAGCUCGUGUCGUGAGAUGUUGGGUUAAGUCCCGCAACGAGCGCAACCCUCACUUUUAGUUGCCAUCAUUAAGUUGGGCACUCUGAAAGAACUGCCAGUGAUAAGCUGGAGGAAGGUGGGGAUGACGUCAAGUC
rnacentral:rRNA from 1 species